GACGAACGCUGGCGGCGUGCUUAACACAUGCAAGUCGAACGCUGAAGACCUGGCUUUUGGCGGGUUGGAUGAGUGGCGAACGGGUGAGUAACACGUGAGUAACCUUCCCUCUUCUUUGGGAUAACGCCCGGAAACGGGUGCUAAUACUGGAUAUUCACUGGCCUUCGCAUGGGGGUGGGUGGAAAGGUUUGUUCUGGAGGGGGAUGGGCUCGCGGCCUAUCAGCUUGUGGGGGGGGUGAUGGCCUACCAAGCCUCUGACGGGUAGCCGGCCUGGGAGGGUGACCGGUGACAUUGGGACUGGGAUACGGCCCAGACUGCUGCGGGAGGCAGCAGUGGGGAAUAUUGCGCAAUGGGCGAAAGCAUGAUGCAGCGACGCCGCGUGAGGGAUGGAGGCCUUCGGGUUGUAAUCCUCUUUCGCUAAUGGUAAAGCCGCAACUGUGGGUUGUGGUGAGGGUAGUGGGUAAAGAAGCGCCGGCUAACUACGUG
rnacentral:rRNA from 1 species